ensembl:lncRNA
CUUUCUAUAACAAAAUGUGAAGGUAUAGAAAUAAUAAUAAUAUUAAUAAUAAUAAUAAUAAUAAUAAUAAUAUUAUAUAUAUAUAUAUAUAUAUAUAUAUAUAUAUAUAUAUAUAUAUAUAUAUAUAUAUAUAUAUAUAUAUAUAUAUAUAUAUAUAGCCAAAAAUAGCAUUGAAUAUUUAAUUAAAUAAAAGUUAAUGUUAAACUUGACAGCCUCUAAAUCUUAUUUUGUAAGAUUUUGGUUUUAGACAUGCAGCAUCCCCUUAGGGUCCCCUGGUUUAGAUCAUAUGAAGCCGUAUAGUUAUUCAUGUGCAGACAAGAGCUGAAAUACCAUCAGAACCCUUGCUGGAAGGAAUACGAGGAAGACAAUGCCGAGAUGAUGUGGCUUUCCUCUGCAUGCGCACACAUCACCCUGCAUCCCUGCAGGAAAAUGCCCUUUAGAAUAAACGCAUCCUUUAUGCUGCUAUUUGAAGAUCGCUUUCCUGAGAGAUUCCUUUCCAGCGCAAUUCUCCAGAAAUGUAGCUCCUUCACCCCGGUAAAUAGCACUACACUCAAGCUCUCUGGCAGCAGUCCAUGUUUAUUAGAAAUUUUGACUUUUGGGGUGUUUUCUCUGCCUUUUUUUCCUUUUUUGAAAAGCAGGCCUUGUUUUGAAAAUCAACAAACAGAAAUCUGGCAAUGUGUGCCUCAUUUUAUCAAAUGGUACACAGCUUGGUAAUGGUCUCCCUUGACGAUUCCAGCUAAUCUAUGCUGAUGACCACAGGGACGGCGAUGAUUGUCAUGUUAGUAGGAAAAAAAAAAUCAGAACAAUCAUGUUGCGUCAGUUCUACCAUUAAAAGACUUGCUUCUCUGCAAAUUUCUGCACGCAGUAAUUAAUACUCUGGGGCUUGCCUUCACCAGACUGGUACUCCAGGCAACGAGAUGCCACUCACCUGAUAAUUAUUUUAGGAAACCAUGCACAACUGAAUGUGAUUGACAAAUGCAACAUUGCUGUAAUUGCCUGAAGCAUACAGCGAGGGAGGGAGGAGGAGAGAGAGAGGAACAAGGAGUUAAUGCCCCACUGUCAAAUGAAAGGGAAACUAAAGAGGAAGUCCUACGGAGAUCUUGUCAUUCUCUACAACAAAGGUGGACACUUACAGGUGUAAGGUCAGACGUAUUUGCUGAGUGCCACUUCUGAUUGCAUCUGGCUCUGCUAUCAGACAUGCAUGGGAACCGGCGCUAGGAAUUACUUUGAGACUGCAGGCUGCCAAGCAACAAGGUGAAUUACUACAUUAUUUGAACAAGUCAAGCUACUGCUGUGAAAAAGUAGGCUGUGCUACAAGUUUGUAAUAAAAAGUAGCUGUUAAGGGGGUAAUAUGUUUUGUAACCUUCUAAUGCAUGCUGGACAGAUCAUUAAAUGGCAUCCACACCAUUGCUAAACCCCACAAAAAUUCUUUAUGACUAGCCAUUUUAUGCCAUUUAUGUCAUAUAUAUAUAUAUAUA